UAUCAUAAUGGAUGUUGUUUUUGUCUUCUAAUAACUGUGACUAUCCCACCCAUGACUAUCUAUUUUGCGAAGUUUAGAAGCAAGGUAGAUCGGAGGAGAACAUAGUAAACUGUUAAAAUUGCUAUAUGCUAUGCUGUAUUUGAUAACUACGUUGCGAGAUUGUGUACAGUGUUUUAAUAUAAUCUCUCUCUAGUCUCUACACGUAUUUGUUUUUGCAACUUCGGAUCGACUUUCGAUCUAGUUAUUUGCUGUUAACUGCUAUUGUUGCCAGAACGUGUUAUGAUUGUGUCAGGUAUAUACAGUAUUUAUGCUGCAUUUUGGAUAAGUGUCAUUAAAGAGGGAAAAAUAAUGAAGAGGAAGAAGGCAGACAUAGCGUCCUUCUUCAGGGCAAGUGGAAAGAAGUCAGCUAAGGCAAAGAAUGAGGGUGAGAUGGAGAAAAAACAGGCAGAGAGCGAGGAUGAGGAGCCCCCAGAGAGCAGCAACUUAAAUGGACCUCCAGGUAUACAGUAUAGAGACUCACAUAUAGUACAGCUUGGUAUGAGGUUAUCUUAUUUACAAUUGGCUUAAAGUUUGUCUAUUCAUAUACAGGUCAGGUUGAAAGUGCAUUGUAAAACAUAUCAGUUCGUUUUUUCAGUACAUUAAAGUAUGGCAUAUUUGUAUUUGCUACCCAGAGACACUUUCACUAAUAUUAUACUUUAGCUUAGUGUGUUUGUUAAACACUAUAUAGCAUGCAUUAGAAAACCUUUAGGAAAAUUACCUGUACACCUUAUUGUAAUUAUUUUUGAUGUUUCUGAAAGAUUGAUCAAGAGCAGGACAGAAGAGUCCUCCCUGAGGAGUGGCCCCAGUGGAUCCCCAGAUUCCCACAGAAGAUUCAGACAGCGAGAGAGAGGAGCCUCCAACAACGAGUGGCGGCCCAAGGUACCACCAGACAUUUCCAAAUCAAGAACCGAUAGAUCUUUAAGGACAGUCAUUGAAGUGUUCAGUUUUAAUGAGAUGUCACUGUUUGGAUUCUCUGUCUGAUAUGUGUAAAUGUGGCUCAAACUUGAAUCUAAUCUUGCAGAGUCCGCCUAAUACCCAUUGUGAAUAUGAU